AGCUUAACAUAAGUGGCAACCACACUUUGUAUUACGUUUCGUCUCAUAUAUCAUGAAGAACAACCAAGUAUUUCAAGCUGGGAUCAUGCUGAGGAACCUCAACCAAGGAAAGCUGAGGCGAGGGCGAGUAGGUCCCUGAGGAGGACCACUGCAAAGGAGGUCAAGGAGAUUCUGGGAGCAACCUGCGAGCAACCUCUAGACCAGCCAGCAGGCACCUCUGACAAUGCCGCUGCCGGUGUCGACGCUGGCAGCCAUGGCCGGCGCCGAGCUGACGAGUUCCAACCUGGAAGCUCAGCGCGAGGGGCUGGCAUUUGUUGCCGGCUUCGUGGCAUACAAGUGUCACCACAUCGACGCCACCCUCGGUAGUCGGUCUCCUGACUUCUCGGGCGCCGCCGGAGACACUGAACACCCUGACGAACAGCUGAAUUGUGACGAUCAGCCGAGGUCAGCUGUUUGUUCUGUCACAAGCCUGGAUGGCCGCUGUGGAGGAGUUCGAGCGGAACUUCUGCCUGCUGAUGGGGGCAACUGCAGAUCAGGGGCCGCGAGUCAUACAGCGUCUCAAGCUGUUCAUCGCCGUCAAGCAGCCUCAGCUCGGCACCCGCGUGUCCAGGAAGUUGGCGAGCACCCGUCUCCACCUCCCCCUUCGGUCCCUUAGCCUGACUGGACGAGGUCCGGCAGCUGAAAAGAGCCGAUAGAAAAGUUGGCCAUCAUGCAAGGAGCGCUAGGUGAGCUGGUAAACCGGCUCGUGUAGCGACUACGACUCAGCGUGGUGCUGUGUGACUCGGUGUGGUGCGGCCGGCUCUGUGUGGGUACUGGGUGCUGUGCGACUCGGCAUGGUGCCUCCGGCUGUGUGUAACGGCUUUGCGACUCGGUGUGGUACGGCCGGCUCUGUGUGGGUGCUGUACGACUCGGCAUGGUGCCUCCGGCUGUGUGUAACGGCUGUGCGACUCGGUGUGGUACGGCCAGAUCUGUUGGUGCUGUGUGACUCGGCAUGGUGCCUCCGGCUGUGUGUAACGGCUGUGCGACUCACUGUGCGACUCGGCGUUGGGUAAUGGCUGUGCGUCUCGAUAUUGUACCACCAGCUGUGAGUAACGGCCACCCGUAAGUGAAACUUACAAUAUUUAGUGACAAUGUUUAUUCGAUUUUUUCAGCAAUUCAAUUUAAGUGCAUCCGUCCUGAGCGCACUAGCAGGGCAGCGGAGUCGAUGUAAUUUCGGUGACUCCCGACUCCUAGUUCCAAAAACUAAUUCCGACUCCUACUCCGGUCCGGGCAGCACUGUCUAUUCUGACCGAUUCCGGCUCAGACUUCGCAGCCCUGCAGCUCCGCAGUCUGCGGAACCGAUGAAUUUUCGGUGACUUCGACUCUGACUCCUGCUCCGACUUCCAAAAUCGACUCCGACUCCGAUUACGGCUCGAGUUCGACUCCGACAAUCCGAUUCAAAAGUCUGGUCCCGACUCCAUAACCCUGCG